rnacentral:rRNA from 1 species
AUGGCUCAGGAUGAACGCUGGCGGCGUGCCUAACACAUGCAAGUCGAACGAAGCACUGGAAACGGAGAUUCGUCAAAGUUCCUUGACUUAGUGGCGGACGGGUGAGUAAUGCGUGAGCAACCUGCCUUCAGAGGGGGACAACAGUUGGAAACGACUGCUAAUACCGCAUAAUGUAUAAUGGAGGCAUCUCCGAGAUACCAAAGGAGCAAUCCGCUGAAAGAUGGGCUCACGUCUGAUUAGCUAGUUGGUGAGGUAACGGCUCACCAAGGCUGCGAUCAGUAGCCGGACUGAGAGGUUGAACGGCCACAUUGGGACUGAGAUACGGCCCAGACUCCUACGGGAGGCAGCAGGUGGGGAAUAUUGGGCAAUGGGCGAAAGCCUCGACCCAGCAACGCCGCGUGAAGGAAGAAGGUCUUCGGAUUGUAAACUUCUUUUAUGAGGGACGAAGGACGUGACGGUACCUCAUGAAUAAGCCACGGCUAACUACGUGCCAGCAGCUGC